rnacentral:rRNA from 1 species
GCAUGGAGCCGACCUUGAAAUACCACCCUUUAAUGUUUGAUGUUCUAACGUGGACCCGUAAUCCGGGUUGCGGACAGUGUCUGGUGGGUAGUUUGACUGGGGCGGUCUCCUCCUAAAGAGUAACGGAGGAGCACGAAGGUUGGCUAAUCCUGGUCGGACAUCAGGAGGUUAGUGCAAUGGCAUAAGCCAGCUUGACUGCGAGCGUGACGGCGCGAGCAGGUGCGAAAGCAGGUCAUAGUGAUCCGGUGGUUCUGAAUGGAAGGGCCAUCGCUCAACGGAUAAAAGGUACUCCGGGGAUAACAGGCUGAUACCGCCCAAGAGUUCAUAUCGACGGCGGUGUUUGGCACCUCGAUGUCGGCUCAUCACAUCCUGGGGCUGAAGUAGGUCCCAAGGGUAUGGCUGUUCGCCAUUUAAAGUGGUACGCGAGCUGGGUUUAGAACGUCGUGAGACAGUUCGGUCCCUAUCUGCCGUGGGCGCUGGAGAACUGAGGGGGGCUGCUCCUAGUACGAGAGGACCGGAGUGGACGCAUCACUGGUGUUCGGGUUGUCAUGCCAAUGGCACUGCCCGGUAGCUAAAUGCGGAAGAGAUAAGUGCUGAAAGCAUCUAAGCACGAAACUUGCCCCGAGAUGAGUUCUCCCUGAGACUUAGAGUCUCCUGAAGGAACGUUGAAGACGACGACGUUGAUAGGCCGGGUGUGUAAGCGCAGCGAUGCGUUGAGCUAACCGGUACUAAUGAACCGUGAGGCUUAACCUUAC